rnacentral:rRNA from 1 species
AACGAACGCUGGCGGCAGGCUUAACACAUGCAAGUCGAGCGCCUCGCCAGAGGAGCGUCAGACGGGUGAGUAACGCGUGGGGACGUACCCUUAUCUUCGGAAUAGCUCUGGGAGACUGGAAGUAUAACCGAAUGUGCCCUUAGGGGGAAAGAUUUAUCGGAUAAGGAUCGGCCCGCGUUGGAUUAGCUAGGUGGUGGGGUAAAGGCCUACCAAGGCGACGAUCCAUAGCUGGUCUGAGAGGAUGAUCAGCCACAUUGGGACUGAGACACGGCCCAAACUCCUACGGGAGGCAGCAGUGGGGAAUAUUGGACAAUGGGCGCAAGCCUGAUCCAGCCAUGCCGCGUGAGUGAUGAAGGCCUUAGGGUUGUAAAGCUCUUUCACCGGAGAAGAUAAUGACGGUAUCCGGAGAAGAAGCCCCGGCUAACUUCGUG